GCGCCCGUAGCUCAAUUGGAUAGAGUGUCUGGCUACGGACCAGAAGGUUGCAGGUUCAACUCCUGCCGGGCGCA
rnacentral:tRNA from 1 species